rnacentral:tRNA from 1 species
UCCCUGGAAGUCCAGCGGUUAGGACUCCACAUUCUCACUGCCAAGGGUCCAGGUUCAAUCCAUGGUUAGGGAA